GCACAAAUGUCUUCUAUGAACACAGAAUGUUUGCCCCAAAUGGAUUAUACCAAAUGUUACAAUGGAUCAUUUUUUUGUAAUAUUUCAGUGUCAAAUUUAAUUUUUCUAGUGGAAAAUGAACUGGAGCUCAAAAACAGUGAAGUCAGAAGGUGAACGGGGAAUAAAAAGUUAGUUACCUGCUCCAGAAAUCCAGAAGCACUGCAGAUAAUGGAGCUGGAGAAUGGCACUGUGAAGACUGGGUUCUUUCUCCUGGGAUUCAGCGACCAUCUGGAACUUCAGAGUCUCCUUUUUGCAGAAUUUUUUUCCAUCUACUCUGUUACUCUGAUGGGGAACCUUGGAAUGAUUUUAUUAAUCACAAUCAGUUCCCACUUGCACACUCCUAUGUACUUUUUCCUCUGUGUGUUGUCCUUCAUAGAUGCAUGCUACUCUUCUGUCAUUGCUCCCAAAUUACUUGUGAACUUGGUUUCUGAAAAGAAGACCAUUUCUUACAAUGGCUGUGUUGCACAGUUAUAUUUCUUCUGCUCUUUAGUUGACACAGAAUCUUUCCUCUUGGCUGCCAUGGCUUAAGACCGGUACAUAGCAAUCUGUAACCCGCUGCUCUAUACAGUGAUUAUGUCCAAGAAGGUUUGUUGCCAGCUUGCAAUUGGAGCAUUUUUGGGGGGCACUAUGAGCUCAAUUAUUCAUACCACGAACACUUUCCAUCUGUCAUUCUGCUCCAGAGAUAUUAACCAUUUCUUUUGUGAUAUCUCCCCACUCUUCUCUCUGUCCUGCACUGACACAUACAUGCAUGACAUCAUUCUGGUGGUCUUUGCCAGUUUUGUGGAAGCAAUCUGUCUUCUAUCAGUUCUCCUUUCUUAUGUCUUCAUUAUGGCAGCUAUUCUUAGAACAGGUUCUGUGGAGGGAAGAAGAAGAGGGUUCUCCACUUGUGCUUCCCACCUGACUGUGGUCACUAUGUAUCAUGGUACCUUGAUCUUCAUUUAUUUGCGUCCCAGCACUGGCCAUUCACUGGAUAUUGACAAAGUGACCUCUGUGUUCUAUACUUUGAUUAUACCUAUGUUGAACCCUCUAAUUUACAGUCUAAGGAACAAAGAUGUCAAAAAUGCUUUUAGAAAAGUGAUUGGCCGAAAAUUACUUCCUUAAGGUGAAACUGGGCCUGACAUCAUUUCAACAAUACCUGCUCUUUGACUUGGUUCUAACUGUUGGAAAAGUCAGUUUAAUAUGAAUGUUCUCCAUAUCUAUGGGUAACGAAUCUUCACCCACAGAAUAGGGUGAAAGCCUGACCUUAGAGUAUGGCUCUCUCAUAUCAUUUAUAUUACGUCUAUUAUUUUAAAGUUGAAAUUUUUAAUAUUUACUUCAGGGGAAGAUUUACCUUACAUUUAAUUUCCUGUAUCUCAUAUUUUUACUUUCUUUCUCUUUUCACCACAAACUUUUGAGACAGCCAUGUGGGAACAGCUCCCGGCCAAAAAUCUAAUCGGCCUAGGUACUGGGACAACUGCGCAUUGAGCUGGAGCCACAGAAGUUCAAAGUGUUUGCGGUGGGGAGGAGCCUGGCCCCUCCUCUUCCUGGGUGGAAUCUGGAAUUCAAUCUGUGAAGUGGGAAGCCUACAUUAGAAUGAACUCUAGCCUUGCAUAGAGUCCCUGUUACCCCCUCUUUCUCUUUUUGCACAAUAAAUCCCAUUAUGAGCACCCUUCAAAUAAUCUGCAAGCCUAGUUUUUCAUGGCCGUGUCAUAAGGACCCAGCUCUUAGCUGAACUAAGGAAAAAGUCCCGCAACAUUCUUGGUGCACAAUAUAGGGGCUUGAUAAGCAAUGAGUGAAAUGGGGACUCAAAACCUCUCACUGUCCUUUCUAAGGCUUUUCAUCCUUGGACUUCUGAAAGAGGGGAAACUGUGCCCCCACCCGCAUGGCUCCUGGGAGUCAGGAAAUUUGGCCUCGGCUCCAGGCUCCAGGUCCUUUUCCUUUCUUUUUCUGGACGACCUGCAACAGUGGCUCCCCACUUUCCUCGCUACUCUCUCCUCCCUGCCAGGGACUGGGAUGCAUGGGCCAAGGGCCCUGCACUGCUGUUUCCCCCAGGCACUGGGGUUCAACUCCAUUGGACAGCAAUUAAGCAUAAGCUUCUCUCCCUGGUGGAGGAACAUCUUGCAAGAGAAUAAGAGUUUUUUUCCUCAGGCAUUUUUGAACUGUCUUUUCUUCCCUCUUCUCCUCCCAUCAGCAGUUAACUUUGAAAGUUUUUUUUUUUUUUCUUUUAGAAGAUGUUUUGCUAGGCUAGGAAUGAUAAUGAUCCCUGUGUAUAUUCUCUAUAAGUUUUGGUUGUGAAAAGGAUCUUGUGGGGACUGGAUUUUCUUCUGCCUGUCUAUGUUUGUGUUGUGUUGUGAUGUCUGUAAAAAGAGCUCUAAUUAAUUUGGCCUAAAGGAAGACACGGGCUUGGAUCAAAUAUUUUUUAAAGGGAAGAUAAAAGCUGUGGUACCUUUCAGUUCAUGUGACUUUAAUCUUUGAGAAAUAAAAACAGCCUUAAAGAUUAUUGGUAAAGUGCAGGUGGCAUUAAAAUAUAAAUAGGUGGGCUAAAUUAUGCUGGUCAGAUGCAAGCUUUGAUAAGUGUUUUGAGGUUAUAAACUGCUUUUUGCAUUUUGAGAACUAUUUAACUUGCCAGCUUCACAUUGGUAAGGCCUGGGGACAGAUGGAACUAACUCAGCCCUUAAUAAUGCUGGGAAUCAAAACUUGGCUGCCCUUAGCACACAAUUAAAACAACUUACCAGGUUUUACAUUAAAUUUAAAAAUUGCUAGGAGUUACCAUUAUAACAUGUCACUGAGACUAUUGGAAAUAAAUUUACAUACAAGGUAUGUAAGAACGGUAAAAUGUAUUUUUUAGUAAAAGGUUAUAAAAAGCAUGGAAAUGUAAAUUUUUGUCUAGGGUUAAAGGAUUGCUUUAAAUUGGAUAAGGUAAAGCUGAAGUUUCAAAUAAGUGGUGGAAAGAUUAUGGAAAUUAACCUCGCAGAAGAGGGUCUCUGUGUGAACAUAUUAACCUAAAUUCAAAAGGGUAUUACAUGGUUUUUCUGUAAAUUGAGCAUUGAAAUAAAAGCACAACAAGGUAUUCUUAAGGCAACAAGGUAUUCUUAAGGUUCUCUGUGUGAACAUACUAACUAAAUUCAAAAGGCUACUACAUGGU
rnacentral:lncRNA from 1 species